CCUCCAUCUGACUCUAUGUCCGGAUCAUCCUCAUAAAGAUAUAUGGCUAGCGUAUAGAGGAACUGAAUUGUCUCCUCUCGGUAUGCGUUUCGCGGACUAGUCAUGAGGGUGCUGAGAUGAAAAUGCUCGAACAUAUACUCGACAUCACUCGAGAUAGCCAGCUCAUCCAUCGUCUGCUGGCAAGGAUACCUCGUGCCCUAAAACUCAUGCUGCUGAAACAGUUUGUAAUACUCUCCUGGGGCUAACCACUUCUCUGCCUUCUUCUUCUGCACUGACUUGCGAGCUGGGACAGGUGGAUGCUGUUCAAACUCAUAAUCACUGUCAUCAUCCCGCAACUCCAUUGGUUUCUUACCCGAGGACUUACUGGCUCUACCUCUUGUCUGAGAUGGACCAACACCAGACGCUCUCUGAUAUGCAGCUUUCUUCUUCUCCAUAUAAACCUUAGAC
rnacentral:lncRNA from 1 species